rnacentral:rRNA from 1 species
AGUGAACGCUGGCGGUAGGCCUAACACAUGCAAGUCGAACGGCAGCACAGUAAGAGCUUGCUCUUACAGGUGGCGAGUGGCGGACGGGUGAGGAAUACAUCGGAAUCUACUUUUUCGUGGGGGAUAACGUAGGGAAACUUACGCUAAUACCGCAUACGACCUACGGGUGAAAGCAGGGGAUCUUCGGACCUUGCGCGAUUGAAUGAGCCGAUGUCGGAUUAGCUAGUUGGCGGGGUAAAGGCCCACCAAGGCGACGAUCCGUAGCUGGUCUGAGAGGAUGAUCAGCCACACUGGAACUGAGACACGGUCCAGACUCCUACGGGAGGCAGCAGUGGGGAAUAUUGGACAAUGGGCGCAAGCCUGAUCCAGCCAUACCGCGUAGGUGAAGAAGGCCUUCGGGUUGUAAAGCCCUUUUGUUGGGAAAGAAAAGCAGCAGGUUAAUACCCCGCUGUUCUGACGGUACCCAAAGAAUAAGCACCGGCUAACUUCGUG